UACGGGAGGCAGCAGUGGGGAAUAUUGCACAAUGGGCGCAAGCCUGAUGCAGCCAUGCCGCGUGUAUGAAAAAGGCCUUCGGGUUGUAAAGUACUUUCAGUCGUGAGGAAGGUGUUAAGGUUAAUAACCUUAGCAAUUGACGUUAGCGACAGAAGAAGCACCGGCUAACUCCGUGCCAGCAGCCGCGGUAAUACGGAGGGUGCGAGCGUUAAUCGGAAUUACUGGGCGUAAAGGGCACGCAGGCGGUUAAUUAAGUUGGAUGUGAAAUCCCCGGGCUUAACCUGGGAAUGGCAUUCAAGACUGGUUAGCUAGAGUCUUGUAGAGGGGGUAGAAUUCCAUGUGUAGCGGUGAAAUGCGUAGAGAUGUGGAGGAAUACCGGUGGCGAAGGCGGCCCCUGGACAAAGACUGACGCUCAUGUGCGAAAGCUGGGGAGCAAAACAGGGAUUAGAUACC
rnacentral:rRNA from 1 species